UGGGGAAUAUUGCACAAUGGGCGCAAGCCUGAUGCAGCCAUGCCGCGUGUAUGAAGAAGGCCUUCGGGUUGUAAAGUACUUUCAGCGGGGAGGAAGGGAGUAAAGUUAAUACCUUUGCUCAUUGACGUUACCCGCAGAAGAAGCACCGGCUAACUCCGUGCCAGCAGCCGCGGUAAUACGGAGGGUGCAAGCGUUAAUCGGAAUUACUGGGCGUAAAGCGCACGCAGGCGGUUUGUUAAGUCAGAUGUGAAAUCCCCGGGCUCAACCUGGGAACUGCAUCUGAUACUGGCAAGCUUGAGUGUCGUAGAGGGGGGUAGAAUUCCAGGUGUAGCGGUGAAAUGCGUAGAGAUCUGGAGGAAUACCGGUGGCGAAGGCGGCCCCCUUGACGAAGACUGACGCUCAGGUGCGAAAGCGUGGGGAGCAAACAGG
rnacentral:rRNA from 1 species